CCUACGGGAGGCAGCAGUGAGGAAUAUUGGUCAAUGGACGCAAGUCUGAACCAGCCAUGCCGCGUGCAGGAAGACGGCUCUAUGAGUUGUAAACUGCUUUUGUACGAGGGUAAACGCAGAUACGCGUAUCUGUCUGAAAGUAUCGUACGAAUAAGGAUCGGCUAACUCCGUGCCAGCAGCCGCGGUAAUACGGAGGAUUCAAGCGUUAUCCGGAUUUAAUGGGUUUAAAGGGUGCGUAGGCGGUCGGAUAAGUUAGAGGUGAAAUCCCGAGGCUCAACUUCGGAAUUGCUUCUGAUACUGUUCGGCUAGAGAGUAGUAGCGGUAGGCGGAAUGUAUGGUGUAGCGGGGAAAUGCUUAGAGAUCAUACAGAACACCGAUUGAGAAGGCAGCUUACCAGGCUACUUCUGACGUUGAGGCACGAAAGCGUGGGGAGCAAACAGGAUUAGAUACCCCAGUAGUC
rnacentral:rRNA from 1 species